UACGUAGGUGACCAGCGUUGUCCGGAUUUACUGGGCGUAAAGAGCGCGCAGGCGGUCGUUCAAGUCGAGUGUGAAAGCCCCCCGGCUCAACUGGGGAGGGUCAUUCGAUACUGAUCGACUCGAAGGCAGGAGAGGGAAGCGGAAUUCCCGGUGUAGUGGUGAAAUGCGUAGAUAUCGGGAGGAACACCAGUGGCGAAGGCGGCUUCCUGGCCUGUUCUUGACGCUGAGGCGCGAAAGCUAGGGGAGCAAACGGG
rnacentral:rRNA from 1 species